rnacentral:rRNA from 1 species
UACGUAGGGUGCAAGCGUUGUCCGGAAUUAUUGGGCGUAAAGAGCUCGUAGGCGGUUUGUCGCGUCUGCUGUGAAAACCCGAGGCUCAACCUCGGGCCCGCAGUGGGUACGGGCAGACUAGAGUGCGGUAGGGGAGAUUGGAAUUCCUGGUGUAGCGGUGGAAUGCGCAGAUAUCAGGAGGAACACCUGCGGUGUAGACGGCUUACUGGACGGUAACUGACGCUGAGGCACGAAAGCGUGGGUAGCAAACAGG